GACGAACGCUGGCGGCGUGCUUAACACAUGCAAGUCGAACGGGCUCUGUCUGGCUGUGUGCUGGGUGGGGUUAGUGGCGAACGGGUGAGUAAUACGUGAGUAACCUGCCCUCUUCUUUGGGAUAAGCCUUGGAAACGGGGUCUAAUACUGGAUAUUCCUGUCUGGUCGCAUGGCUGGGUGGGGAAAGUUUUUUUCGGUGGGGGAUGGGCUCGCGGCCUAUCAGCUUGUUGGUGGGGUGAUGGCCUACCAAGGCGUCGACGGGUAGCCGGCCGGAGAGGGUGACCGGCCACACUGGGACUGAGAUACGGCCCAGACUCCUACGGGAGGCAGCAGUGGGGGAUAUUGCACAAUGGGCGCAAGCCUGAUGCAGCGACGCCGCGUGGGGGAUGACGGCUUUCGGGUUGUAAACCUCUUUCGUCGGGGGACAAGGCUCUGCUUGGUGGUGGGGUUGAGGGUACCCGGUGAAGAAGCGCCGGCUAACUACGUG
rnacentral:rRNA from 1 species